rnacentral:tRNA from 1 species
GCCACGGUGGUCUAGCGGUUAGAACGCUGGCCUUGUAAUCCUGGGGUCCUGGGUUCGAUUCCCGGCGGUGCCC